rnacentral:rRNA from 1 species
UACCAAACUCUUGACAUGUUCGUCGCGACUCGUAGAGAUAUGAGUCUUCGGUUCGGCCGGACGAAACACAGGGUGCUGCAUGGCUGUCGUCAGCUUCGUGUCGUGAGAUGUUGGGUUAAGUNCCCGCAACGAGCGCAACCCCUACGUUUAGUUACUAACAUUUAGUUGAGUACUCUAAACGAACUGCCAGUGAUAAGCUGGAGGAAGGUGGGGAUGACGUCAAGUCCUCAUGGCCCUUACGAGUUGGGCUACACACGUGCUACAAUGGUACUUACAAUAAGAUGCAAAGAGGCAACUCUAAGCCAAUCUUAAAAAUGUAUCUCAGUUCGGAUUGCACUCUGCAACUCGAGUGCAUGAAGCUGGAAUUGCUAGUAAUCGCGGAUCAGCGCGCCGCGGUGAAUACGUUCCCGGGUCUUGUACACACCGCCCGUCACACCAUGGAAGUUGGUUACACCUUAAGGCAAAGCGUAAAACCUUUGACUACGGUACGAUCAGCAACUGGGGUGAAGUCGUAACAAGG